GAAUUCUGUGUAGCAGAAAACAGAGAGCAUUGCUGAAAUGCCAGAAGCCACAUAGGAUAAAACUAUAGCUGGUCCGGCAUGUUCAUGAGCUUCUUGGCCAGUGAGUACGAAGAUGCCUGCUCCAAUAACAGAGCCAAAGCCAAACCAGGUAAGGUCCCACCAACUAAGGCAACGUUUCAUCUCAUUCUCACUUUCUUUCCUUAGCUCCACAAUCUCCUCAGCAUCGUCAGAACGGUUUGCAACUCGGUCCUUCAAUCUGGUAAAUGUUUGUGACAGUGCUGAUCGGUAUGCGCUCCAAUUCUGGAAAGAAUCUCCCGGGAAGAAAUCGUGUUUGCUCCAUCUCCAAUAACUUCUUGGCUGUAUCUCAUCUCCCAUUUCAUCAGUAGAGUCAAUUACUGACAUACUCUACUGUUACAGAAGGCUAGUAGUAAUUACUAGGUCAUUGGGAUGGUACAGCUGUUUAUA
rnacentral:misc_RNA from 1 species